GAUCUGAGAGCCUAAAAGAUCCCUUUUUGAUUUGAAUCCAAGAACUUCUCCAGAUUUUUAAAAAUCGAGUUCUCCAAAGAAGAGGCUGUGAUGUCGUGCACCAGAGAGACAGUCGAGAGCAGCUAGGACAGGCUUUCCGUUGGCAUAAUGGAAACCAUGUGUCCUGUACCAUUAUGGAUUUCUAAUGCUCCGUUGAGAAAAUCAGAAAGCAAUGAGAAUUAAAAAAAAAAAAAAAAAAAGCAUGUUGUACUCAGCCCAAAAGAGAUUAGAAGAGUCCAGAAUGACAUAAGGGCAGAGCACAGGACAUAGGUGACUGAAUGAGUCUUAACAAAGAAGCCAGGUCCAGGAAGAAUCAGAUGGUGGACACAG
rnacentral:lncRNA from 1 species